rnacentral:rRNA from 1 species
CAUGUAGGCGGUUUUGCAAGCUUGGUGUGAAAGGCAGGAGCUUAACUCCUGGACUGCGUUGAGAACUGCAAGACUAGAGUCACUGAGGGGCAAUCAGAAUUCCAGGUUUAGGGGUGAAAUCUGUAGAUAUCUGGAAGAAUACCAAUGGCGAAGGCAGGUUACCAGCAUAUGACUGACGCUGAGGUGCGAAGGUGCGGGGAGCAAACAGGAUUAGAUACCCCCGUA